GUGUACAGCCACACUGGAGCAUCUUCAAUCCCUGAGUUUAAGUUUCAGACAAAUGUGAAAUUAGGAUUAAAAGAAACUUCAAUGGGAUGGGGUAUACUCUAGCUGGAAAGUGCUUACCCAGAACUCACAAGACAAUGGGUUUGAUCUCUUGUACCAGCCCCACAAACCAAAAGUUCCUUCAAGAGCAGUUUUUGUUUCACAGAUCUUUUAAAUGACUCAGCAUAUAAAUACAUUUCCAUAUGGUGUCAAAUUUUUGCAUACAAUAAAAAAGAUACAUACACUCUUUGAAGCCUAUAGGCUAUCAGUAGACCCCAGAUUAAGAAUUGCUGGUCUAGUCAAAUAAUAUCCCUUGAUUAAUGAGAAAAUUUAAAUGACAACAACAACAACAGCAAAAUAUGUUUAGAACCAGAGUUGGUUAAUGACACUUCCAAGACUAGAAACUAGCUAUUCUGAUUUCCAUCUAAUUCUAUUACCUUGAAGUAUGUGUGUGUGUGUGUGUGUGUGUGUGUGUGUGUGUGUGUGUACACAAAUUACAUGUAACUAUUAAUGACUUACAGAGGCCUAUUUAAAUAUUUCCUGAAUAGAUGGGACUUCUGUUUAUUUCUGAAUGCUGUUGGAUAUAUUCCUUCAUUACAUACUAUUUACUAUGCACUAUUCUAAUGUUCUAAAAACAAAUACAGUGAAGAAUUUUUAAAAUAUGGCCCUCAAUAAGAAUUUGAGCUGGGUAGCAAAAGAGACAAAAAGAAUGUUAAUGUCAGAUACUAAGGAGAAUUGCAGCAAAAAAUAGGAAAUAGUAAAGAGAAUGGGGCCUUGUAGGGAGAAAAGGGUGAUGGAUACAUUAUCUUGUGAAACAUAGGCUUCGUCUUCCUGGUUUGUUGAAAUUACAGAAGAUACUUGAAGAUUGGUAAACGUGUAUAGCUGGAGAAAAGGGGUUCUAGAUGGAAAAAUAAAUGAAUACAAUAAAGAGCUGGCGGUCAAACCUGGUAUAAAAUUUGUAAUGAAGAACAAAGAAGUAAAAGAUUAGGCAGAAACUGUUGGGAAAUCCAGAGGAGCAGGUCAUGUCCUGGGUAGUCUGUGAUUUUUCUCUGGUGGCAACAUGGAGGAGAGGCACAAUCUGAUACAUGAGAUGAAAUGCAACAUCUUUCCUGUUUUACUUAGGCAGGAUAGUCAUAAUAAAGUUCAGGGUAGAAGCAAAGGAAGCAAACCAGGGGACAGUACUCUAAUAACCAGCUGAGACCAGCUGGAUAAAACUAAGAUAAUGGUAUGAAAAUAAAGAUGGUGAGUGUCUUAGGUUUAUUUUUAAGUAAAGCUGGAAAAAUCUUCAGAUAGGUCAAAUAAAGAAUGACUAUAAUUUUUAAUCUAAACAUUGUUAUUUAUUUAAAUAAUGAGAACAUAAACAGGUUUGGCAGGAAUCUGCUGAAUAAUUAGUGAAGAUGUGGAUAUACUUUUGACUGGCUCUUGACAAAGAUAUACUAAAAAGGGGAGAUCUAUUCAAUGAACUAGUUGUUCAGAGAUUUUACAUAUAUAUAUAUAUAUAUAUAUAUGUAUAUAUAUAUACAUAUAUGUAUAUGCAUAUAUAUCAAUAAUAUCAAAGAAAUGACAUAAUAGAGAAGAUAACUGUAGACAAGAAACUGAAGAAUUUUAAGAAUAAAAUAGAACAAAAUAUUUUUAAACACAUGUAUUGAAGAAACAAGAAGAAAGUGUACAAAAUAGCAGAGCCACUAUAGUAAGCUAGUCAAUGUGCUGGUGUAGCCACACAAAGAAAUCAUUGCCCAGUUGAGCUAAAUGUUACUGAGACUAAAUACCAAGAACUGACCCUGUGACAUACUAGUGUGGUGUUACUGGGGACCUGGUUAGGAACAGACUUAGAGUAUGGCAGGUAUGGAUUAAAAAAUGUGUGAAAGUUUAAGAAAGAUAGGAGAAGACCUGAAGGAACUAUUACUUCCAAGGGAUUUUGCUCUCAAGAAGAGAGGAUAAAUGACAGUGCAUCAGGAGGACAAGGUAAGAUCAAGGGAACUUACAUCUGAAGAAAAGAUCACCAACACAGCAUGGUAGUAUCCUAACAAGAAUGACAAGCUGUGGUGACUUUUGAGUAUCAAGAAAGAGGGAACACUAAUCCAAACAGAGGAGAAGGGUCAGUUUAUCCAAAUGAUUAGAAAUUACGUAGCAUAUAUCAACCAAAUGUCAACUGUUUCUAUGUGUGGUAUUGAGAGGUCUCUUUUCCUAUGUGAACACUAAUACCCCACAGUAGAUGACUUUAUUCCAAGACCACCUUAACCCUUAUGUUAUUAUCUCUAUUCUUUUUUCAUUAAUUUAUUUAUUCACUCACUUUGCAUCCCUAUAGCAGCAGACCCUCCCUCCUCUCUUCCCAGUAGUACCAUUACAAAUCCCCCCCUCCCAUUACCUGCUCCUGUUCUCCUCAGGGUGGUAUUAAUUCCCUUCUCACAGAGAUGUUACUUCGUUUUUCCCACAUCAUCAAUUCAGUACUGAACUUCACAGGAAGAGAAAGUGAAAAAUAAAAUAAGAACAGGAAGAUAAUAUGAGGUAUUCUUGGUGUAUGUAUGUGUGUGUGUUUGUGCUUGUGUGUGUGUGCUUUCUUCAUAUAGUAAGAAUAUAAAACAAACUGAAAAUCUUAAGGGAAGAAGAUAUUAGAUCUUUAACAAGAAUAAAGUGUGGCAUUUUUAUCUAGAAGCAUGGAAGUCUGAAAGGAUAAUGAAAUCUAGCUGGAUUCUUGGCCAGCACUCAGGGCCACUCUAUUUUUAUGACUUGCAAGUAUUUGAGUGUUCCAACAGCUCAAUCAUGCUUUCUGUAAGUGUAAUAGCUAGACUCUGAGGUUUUUAAUUCUUUGCACUGUCUCUCCUCAUCCAUCUCAUUAUUAUUGGUUCUACUCUCACUGACUCACAAACUACUAUGUCCUAUUUCUACUGCUAGCAUAAUUCAUUUAUUCUUUUAGCAUAUUUUUACCAAGUACCUUAGUGUAACACAGAAAUAAAGACAGUGUAUAAAAAAAUCUGAGCAGUAUACUUUGGAAGAUAUUUCUGAAGGCACACGGUAAAUUUUGUUACUAGAUUCUGACACUUCCUGGUCUACAUUCUACAGAAAGCAGCGAGGAAAACCAGCAGUGUAUUGGCAGAGCAUACAGAACUGCUAUCUGUUAGAGAGGUAUCCUACACUAGAAAAUAUUGUUACACUAGAGUCCCCAUUCUAUG
rnacentral:lncRNA from 1 species